AUGUUUCCAAAUACCAAAUGUUUUCUUCUUGGUUUUCAAAGAAACCUUUUGACCUUCUUAUUAUACAUGCAGGUUCAUGAUACUGAGGUUAUCGGCGUUCUCCUGCAAACUGAAUUAAUUCCUCUGUGCUUGCGUACCAUGGAGAUGGGCAGUGAGCUAUCAGAAAACGUUGUCGUUUGCUCAUUGUUGUCCUGGCUGUGCUACUUCCUUCUGGUUAGACGAACUGCUGUGUUCCUAGACCUGCAGCUCAUUUCUGCUCCUCAAGGAGAUGGUGUCCACGCCUUCAUCAUAGCUGGUGUCCACAUGUUCUUCAGAGCUCGUGUCCACGGCUUCAGCAGAGCUACUGUCCACACUUUCGUCAGAGCUAAAACAACAUAG
rnacentral:rRNA from 1 species